rnacentral:rRNA from 1 species
GACGAACGCUGGCGGCGUGCUUAACACAUGCAAGUCGAACGGUAAAGCGCCUUCCUUUUUGGUUGGUGUGGAUGAGUGGCGAACGGGUGAUUAACACGUGAGUAACCUGCCCCCUUCUUCUGGAUAACCUCAUGGAAGUGUGGCUAAUACGGGAUAUUCUGGGUCUGUCGCAUGAUGGGUCUGGGAGAGAUAUUGUUUCGGUGUGGGAUGGGCUCGCGUCGUAUCAGCUUGUUGGUGGGGUGAUGGCCUACCAAGGCGAUGACGGGUGGCUGGCCUGAGAGGGUCGACGGUCACAAGGGGACGGAGACACGGCCAAGACUCCGAAGGGAGGCAGCAGUGGGGAAUAGUGCACAAUGGGAGCAAGCCUGAUGCAGCGCCGCCGCGGGAGGGAUGGAGGCCGUCGGGUUGUGAACCUCUUUCGCCAGUGAAGCAGGCCUGCCUCGUUUGUGGGUGGGUUGACGGUAGCUGGAGAAGAAGCGCCGGCUAACUACGUG